rnacentral:lncRNA from 10 species
AUAUUGAAUUGUAUUAUGUUUAAUGGUACAAAAUGAGCAUAAAAUAGCUGUAUUAUGUUUAAUGGUACAAAAUGAGCAGAAAAUAGUAAACAAUGGCAUUUUGAAGGAUUCUGUCCACGAUACAAAGAUUAAAGUUUAAUCAUGUGGAGUUGCAUCAUAAAAUUUCCACCCAAGUGACAAUCAGAUUUGUCUGAAAGACCCCUCUGUUAGUGGAGUAAAGGAUGGAUCAGAGGAGAGGGAGAACAGAGACAGGGAGAGGGGGAGUCAAAAAAUGGAGCUGUUGCAGGAUAAAGGCGGUGAGGCGUGAUGAGGGUUUGUAUUAGGGCAGGAGCUACAGAAAUGGAGAGGGAGAGACAAAUACAAGACAGAUCAAAAAAUCAAAGUCAAUGAGACUUCCUGAUAGAUUACAUAUGGGGCAUGUAGGGAAAACAGUAUGUAAAGCAAGUGAUCUAUUGCAAUGGAUUAAAUGUUUGUGUCCCCGCAAAGUCAUAUUUGACUAACCCCCAAUGGGAUGGUAUUAAAAGGUGGAAUCUUUGGGAGGUAAUCAGGGAUACACCGAGGGUAACCAAACCAUAGUCAAUGCACCUGGAGACAGGGAUGCACCGAGGGUAACCAAACCACGUUCAAUGCGCCUGGAGACAGGGAUGCACCGAGGGUAACCAAACCACGGUCAAUGCACCUGGAGACAGGGAUACACCGAGGGUAACCAAACCAUAGUCAAUGCACCUGGAGACAGGGAUGCACCGAGGGUAACCAAACCAUGGUCAAUGCACCUGGAGACAGGGAUGCACCGAGGGACCAAACCACGGUCAAUGCACCUGGAGACAGGGAUGCACCGAGGGUAACCAAACCACGUUCAAUGCGCCUGGAGACAGGGAUGCACCGAGGGUAACCAAACCACGGUCAAUGCACCUGGAGACAGGGAUACACCGAGGGUAACCAAACCAUAGUCAAUGCACCUGGAGACAGGGAUGCACCGAGGGUAACCAAACCAUGGUCAAUGCACCUGGAGACAGGGAUGCACCGAGGGACCAAACCACGGUCAAUGCACCUAGAGACAGGGAUACACCGAGGGUAACCAAACCAUAGUCAAUGCACCUGGAGACAGGGAUACACCGAGGGUAACCAAACCAUAGUCAAUGCACCUGGAGACAGGGAUGCACCGAGGGUAACCAAACCACGUUCAAUGCGCCUGGAGACAGGGAUGCACCGAGGGUAACCAAACCACGGUCAAUGCACCUGGAGACAGGGAUACACCGAGGGUAACCAAACCAUAGUCAAUGCACCUGGAGACAGGGAUGCACCGAGGGUAACCAAACGAUGGUCAAUGCACCUGGAGACAGGGAUGCACCGAGGGACCAAACCACGGUCAAUGCACCUGGAGACAGGGAUGCACCGAGGGUAACCAAACCACGGUCAAUGCACCUGGAGACAGGGAUGCACCGAGGGUAACCAAACCAUGGUCAAUGCACCUGGAGACAGGGAUGCACCGAGGGUAACCAAGUCAUAGCCAGGAUGUUUCUCACAGUGUAGCUUCUCAUUACUUUGGUCUUUGCACCUUUACCAAGUGCACAUGAGAAUUAUUAGAUGAGGGAGGGAAUGUAGAAAUGGGAUGCAGAAAUGAAAAAUGUAGACAUGAACACCUGCCUCAUGACAUUUAAGGCUUGCUUUUAUUUUAGUAAACAUCACUGGGCAAAAC